rnacentral:sRNA from 1 species
UUGCUUAGUGUAGGCAAUCGAUCAGCCUGU